AUCACACUGUUUUUCAUACAUUUCUUAAACUCGCAAAAGCAGCCUCGCUUCCUUGAUCCCUGCACCACUGUCGAUCUUGGUACCACCAUCGGCCGCCAUUUGGAUAUUGGAUUUUGGAUAUUGAAAGCUAUCUACAUUCUCCAUAGUUUCCUAAGUUACUGCCAAGCUGGAAGGGUUGACCGUGUUUACAUGCAACGAUUUGGUCUUGUUGACGUUGAUGGUGGCAUCUGCUGCCGUAGACAAGCGAUUGGCAAGAGUAUGAUCACAGCUGCCGUCGUGAAUAGACGCAUGCAAAUGUGCUCUUAGCAGUCAGCUUUGUCUUUGCCAUUAGUUUGUGCUGUGUAGGCAAACGUUAUCGCGCGCGCAUUGUCUCCCGGUCGUUCACCGCUGUGUCGGUCGUCUGUGGUGCCGCUUUGUGUCGUCGGAAGCAAUUUAAUUGCACCGAAAUGUGUGAGUUGAUCAACACUGCACAGUUUCGAUUCCCGGUCGGUAGCCCUCGAUCAACAUGGACAGAUAUUGCAAACUUUUUAAAAUCGCUGGAAACGAAUUUGCUGCUCGUCGAGACAGCAUAUAAAACAGCAAAGGAUCGUUCGCUGUUUGUGAAGUUUGUGUCUUCGGAAGCGAUGAUGGAGGAAUUGAGAAAAAAUGCGGAUCCGAAGAAGUUCUUUUACGCAAAUGGACAAACCGUGGAAGUGUGUGUGUGCGUCGCUGGCGACAAUGUCCAGUACGUUCGAUUUGCCCCCGGAAUUGAGUGACGAUCGUUUGUCGCUGCUACUCGCAGAGUAUGGCAUAAUCGAAAAAGCAGUUCGCGAAAAAUUCCCACCUGACUCAGGACUUGGUCACAUUUUCAACGGCGUGCGUGGUGUAUCCCAAGCAACACAGAAAACAUCUUUAGAAAUCUUAACUUCUAAAGAUGUAUUAUAAAAGUGUUGUUAGCGUAUUAGAAAACAUCUUAUGUUUGUAUUUAGUUUUAUUUAUGUUGGCUCAUAACAAAUAAGAAAAGAAUAUAAUUUACUUUAUCAUGCUCGAAAUUUGAUGAUUGUUUGAUUAUACAACACUUAUAGAACAUUAUUUAUGUUCUUCUUAUAACCUUGGCAAUACACAAUGUUUACUUUUUCACUCAAUUAUUAUGAAACAUUAUGACCACACUCCAGCUUAAGUUUUUUUUUCAUCUGCGAAGUAUACACCAAAAGUUUCUUCAAAAUAUAAAGUUACUUGCUAACAAAACUAAACACCAGCUGAAUCGAGCCUCUCUUGAGUUCCAAUUGGACGAAACUGCUCGACACCCAACUGAGAACCAGCUAUCUAUCAAGCUGAAUUCUCCUGCAAGAAGAGCUACAGUGGUCGCAUCUUUAUUCGGGUCGCUUUUCCCGUUACGUCAUGAAGGGGUAACAUCUGCAAUCCUGGCAAGCAUUCCGUCGGUGCGCUUCACUUUUUGGUCGGUCAAAAUAGAAGCCACAACCAAAUCCCCAAUCCGGCCACAUCACAUCGCAUCACGGUCACAUCACCACCACGAGUCGCGGUCAGCGACUGUCUUGAUCUGACGUUUCAGGAUCUGACGAACUGCAUUGCCAUUGAUCGCAUCACUGAGAGCUGCAGGCUAAUUUUCUCAACCGCGAACCGUGCAAUUGCGGAUUAUUCCGGGCUCUUGUUAAAUCCCGCGGGAACUACACAACAACGAGGCAAUGGACCAUCACCAGAAAUGAUUAUGUUUACUUUUGAUAAUAUUUUGACAUUUCGAUAGACUUCGCCAGGCUUGGCAAUAAGGCGUAAUACUGUUAUUUUGGCGUUGUGAUUAGUAUCGAAAAUCGAAAAUAAAACCAAUUAAUACGUAUGCUGAAUAAAUGUGUUCUAGAUGUAAUAUAAACGCUUUAUCAAGUUGUUGUGAAAUUUAUUGCAGAGUUGUUCAAAUGAUGUAAUUAGAAUGUAAUUUUAAUCAUCAUAUUCAUCUAAUAAAAGUACUUGUACAAAUGUCAAAUGCACCUCAUUAGAAAAAAAACCGUACAGUGCCGGAUAAAAAUAUAGAUCCACAAAUAAAAAUAAUAAGUUGCAACUAAUUUUCCUUACUUGUUGGUAGUCAUAAACAAGUGGAUGUUGUAUUGGGUAGUAAUUUGAGACUUUUACUUGAACCUCUUAUAUAGGGCCCAUAUAGCCGCAGUUGUAAAAGCGUGGAUAUUCAGCUGGAUCAUGAUGGGGAUGUCGGGUUCGAUUGCCGGAAGCACUAAUCUGAGAAGCGUUACUCAAAGAAGUAGAAUUUGAACUUCAAUAAUUCAGUAAUAGCUCCGUAUUAGAUGUUCUUCUUCAUGGCAUAACGUCUCCACUGUAAUAGAACAUGGUCUCAAUUAUAGCGAUUAUAGGAAUUUAAAUAUUUUUAACAUUUUUGAACGGUACUGUAAGCUCCGUGGACUGUCUGCCAUAUUGCUUUUUUUCGUGUGGAUUAAAAAAAUCAAACACAAAUGGAUAAUAUGGCUAGUCUAUGAUACAUUUUUUUAUCCAGUUCAGAGGCGCAUGAAUUAUGGAAAAGUUAAAUUGGAAACUGAACAAUAAAUUCUGAAGCGCAUAUGAUACAACACCAUCGCUAAUGAGCAAGACCAUUUCAUAGCUGUUCGAAUAAUUUAAUAUAAUGAACUUCAACAUUUGGAAAGCAUUUUUCAGGUUUACUUCAUUAUGGUUUUUGGUAAAAAAUAUAUUUAUAUCUAUAUUUAUCGCUUUCAACAUUUGUUUUGAUGUGGUUUUCUUUCUGUCAGUUACCCUGUCUUGCGACUGUCACCUAAUAUUUUGUUGUAUAAGUGAAUUCUACAAGUCAUAUACCUUUCAAAUAUCUUAAUUAUAAACAUGCAGAUGGUUAUGUACUAUAAACAUUUUAUGCACGUCCAAUGACUAGACAACAUCUUAAUUCCAACCUACGAAUGUGAUAGUAUUAUAUCAAUAUUCUUUAUGAUUUUCAAAUUGAUAAAUAGCCUGAUUGCAACUUAUCAACGUUACAGAGUAGAUGGGAACGUACCUCGGGAGUAUUAUUAGUGUAUGGGGAUACAUCUUAUACAACCUGUAAGAUGUUUUAUAAGCCGCCAUUUUUUGCGCUGUUUUGCUUAUAUAAGUGUUCGAUAUUGAGUUGAGAAUACAAGAAAUAAACAAACGAUUAUGUAUGAAUAGUGAAUUUACAACUAUUAUAUAACAAGUAGUGUUACUUGGGAUACAUCGACAUUGAAAAGGACAUCCCUCCUGCGAUUGACAUCGGAAACUUGAAAGGACGUAUGUUUCACGACGGACUGAAAGAUGUGUGCUAUGAUUUACAGUUUGUCUUAAUCUCCAAACAGUAAAUAUCUUGUAUCUGUUGUUGUUAAUGUAUAACAAAUAGUUGACUUUAUGUCGCAGAAUGUGAGAUUCAACGCAGUCGACUAUAAAUCAUGGUAUAUGCAAUCCAUACCAUAUGGUGACAUUAUAGUAUACUGUGCAAGUAUUAUUGAAUAAUAUGGAGAUGGAAGUUCGCAAGUAAUGGUGGCAAUAUUACCUCACCUUAUAUCAAACUGUUUGUGCUUAUUUUAUGCAACACACUUACACAUGUGCGUUUUAUUAUAUGUUACUGAUGUUGAACAAUAUGACAAGCAGUUGCACGCAUCGGUAUUUGUGAACUAAUAAAAAACGGUCGAAGGCUGUAAUGAUAACUUUCAAAACAAAGAAAAAACAAGUUCUUUUUAUUGGUGAUUUUUGCGGAUCUUUUCCGGUAAUCUAGUCCAGCGACCAAAACCGACAGCUGGUCAAAAACCUCUCCGUCGUGGCUCCGAAGAGAAUGGAACCGAAGAUGUAAAAUUUAGCGGAAUCGAAGUCCGGAAUGUGGAAUUUCACCAGAUUGAUGUUUGUUUGCUUCGGAUACCUUGGACCGAGAGACCCGCUUGAGGAGUUCCGGUUUGAGUGCUUCACCGAAUCUGAACAGGCCAAGCAGUACAAUCGGCCAGGGAAUGAAAAAGAAGUUCACGUCAGCAGAAUCUCGAGUAGAGCAGUCGAAAAGCGAAUGCGAGAGAUCCGUGGAAACUGGGUAAGAAGUUUUUGCUCAGGAAGAUUCCGCCUCACUUGAUGUUUACUGCAGUAUAGAAUAGAACAUUACAAAUUAAUAAAUGCUAUAUAAAACGUA